rnacentral:rRNA from 1 species
CGAUCCCCAUCGAGAAGGCGAUGAGCGUCUACGGGGACGUGCUCCUCGCGUACGAGAUGAACGGCGAGCCGCUGCCCCGAGACCACGGGUACCCCGUCCGCGCCAUCGUCCCGGGCACC